UACGUAGGGUCCAAGCGUUGUCCGGAUUUACUGGGCGUAAAGGGCUCGUAGGCGGCCAACUAAGUCAGACGUGAAAUCCCCAGGCUUAACCUGGGAACUGCGUCUGAUACUGGAUGGCUUGAGAUUGGGAGAGGGAUGCGGAAUUCCAGGUGUAGCGGUGAAAUGCGUAGAUAUCUGGAGGAACACCGGUGGCGAAGGCGACAUCCUGGACCAACACUGACGCUGAGGAGCGAAAGCCAGGGGAGCAAACGGG
rnacentral:rRNA from 1 species